UAAGAGUGGUACAGCUAGGAAGAC
rnacentral:misc_RNA from 1 species